GGGGGUGUAGUUCGGUGCCAGUGCUUGCUUGGCAAGCAUGAACCUCUGGGUUCGAUUCCCAGCACCACAA
rnacentral:tRNA from 1 species